UUUAACCCAACUUGAUAAUCCAUGGAGCCUUUUAGCCCACCAUACAAGUUAUGGAUGAUUUACAUAAUCAACCCAUAUAUUUAACUAGUUAUCUUUUGAUCACUUAAUUAAUUCCAAAUUAAUUCUUGAUCAAUACUAAUUAAAUAAUACUAUUAAUAUAUUAGAACUUAUAAUAUAUUAAUAAACCACAAGUGUUAUUUCUCUCAUUUAGUCUAUCCAAAUGCAUGAUGCCAUGCAACCCAAAUGGACCAUGCCGGGUCGGGUCAAGUACAUACCAUAAAUAAUUAUGGACUUAGACACCUUAUCCAACAGUCUCCCACUUGGAUAAGUCUAAUAACUAUAACUGCAAGUAUGACUUCAAGAACCGAUCAGCAAUCGUAGCUCUUUUCAAGGUUUCUCGGAACUGAGAAGAUGAUGGUACGCCAUUUCAGAUAAGGGAUCAUAUAAUCCUCUGUUCUAGAUAUCAGCCGGACAAAUACAUGGAACAUUGUCUUGCUUAUUGUCCAGCAUUUGUUUCCCGAUUUCCGAUUUGUUUGACAUAGAACUUAAUUGAACACAUCAACUUAGUUCUGACCGGGCCCGGUACAUGGGUCAAAACAAAAUCAUCGAGGGGCCCAGAUAUCAGCUUCUAAUCCAAGAAGGAACAGAUAAACUUCGACUCAUAUGUUUGUUCUACCACUCAUUGAAUUACACACAAAAGUACGUUUUAUAACAUCGAGUUACCAAUGCGUUUUCGUACAGUCAAUGCAUAACCAACUUGUAAGUAACAAAUCAUAUCUCUAGGUUUGAAGACUUAUAUGAUAUUACCAUCUCACGAUCACUCGAGAUAAAUUCCAUGAAGUGAUACCAGUGAGCGUGGGUUGAGUCCAAUGCUCAGAACUUAUGAACACUCGUGAUUUUUGUAGCCAUGUCCAACAACUUAGACCUUUGCAACCAUCUCAUGACAGUCUUGAUUCAUAUGUACUUCCAACAUAUGACUGACUAUGGAGAUUCGAAUAAUAUGAUAUACGAAACAUAAUUAUUCUGGAAGUCAAAACAUGCGAAAGAAAUAUAGUAAACGAUUGACAAUAGAUAGCAACACUUUACUCAUAAAUAAACACAACUUUUAUUCAUCAUCAAAUGUCAAUUAUAAUUUACACAUUUCAAAAUUAUCUAACUACUAAAACUAAUAUCAUCCUUCAGCCCUAUGCUCUGAGCAUGCUGGAUAUGCUUAGCCCGAGUCAGUCCCUUUGUGAGGGGAUCUGCUGGGUUCUCAUCUGAUGAUACCCUCUUUGCCAUGAGGAGUCCUUCUUCUAUUCGAUGUCUGAUGAAAUGGUAUUUUCUGUCAAUGUGUCUAGAUCUCCCGUGAUCCCUUGGUUCCUUGGCUAAGGCAACUGCACUUUCACUAUCACAGAAAAUUUCCAUUGGCUCUUUUAUAGCUGGUACAACUCCAAGGUCUCCAAUGAAGUUCUUCAGCCAUAUCGCCUCCUUUGCUGCCUCGCUAACCACUGUCUCUUGCUUGGAACUCUUCCAAGUAAUUGCUCCUCCGUUUAAGGUAAAGACCCAGCCUGACUGAGAGUGAAAAUUAUCCCUAUCAGUCUGAAAGCGAGCAUCACUAUACCCUACAACUCUUAAGUCAUCACUCCCACCGAGGGUAAGGUCCCAGUCCUCAGUCCUCCGUAGGUACUUGAGGAUAUUCUUUACCGCGGUCCAAUGAGCCUUGCCAGGGUUCCCCUAGUGUCCAAUGAACCGAUCAGCAAUCCUAGCUCUUUCCGCGUAACUGUUAGGUUCAUCCAGCCAUGCUAGUGUCUCAUCACUAAUAAGUGUAUCACCUUCCACAGUAAUAUGGAAUCCAUAGUAAUGCUCAGGUGCAUUCCUAACUCUCGUGGAACGCCUCAGAGGUACAGACUCGUCAAUUGGCUCAACAGGAGUUUCCUCCUCAAGUUGAGUGCUAGGGUUUGAGGUUCCUUCACCACUUGAAUCUUGAAUUUAUUCAAGGUCAACUUACCUCCCACUAUUUUCUUGGCUUAUGAACUAUCUUUCUCGAAAGAAAGCCCUCCUAGCUACAAAGACCACAUUCUUACUAGGUUUGUAGAAGAGGUAACCAAAGGAAUUCUGUGGGUAGCCGAUGAAAAUAUACCUCUCACUUCGAGGUUCAAGCUUAUCAUGAGUCUCGCGUCUCACGAAAGCCUCGCAACCCCAAAUAUUGAUGUGGUCUAGUUUGGGUACUUUACCAGUCCACAUCUCAUGAGGAGUCUUGACAACUUUCUUUGUAGGGACUAGAUUAAGGAUAUGGGUAGCAGUCUCUAAGGCAUACCACCAAAAUGAGAUUGGUAGCGAAGCUCGACUCAUCAUGGAAUGAACCAUAUCCAACAAGGUUUGAUUACGCCUCUCAUCUACACCAUUCAACUGCGGUGUCUUGGGAGGUGUUAAUUGUGAGACAAUCCCACAUUCCCUAAGAUAUUUGACGAACUCUAAACUAAGAUACUCACCACCUCGAUCGGAUCGAAGCAUCUUAAUGUUCCUGCCCAAUUGAUUCUCGACUUCCAGUUUAAAUUCUUUAAACCUUUCAAAAGUUUCUGACUUAUGCUUGAUUAAGUAGACAUAUCCAUAUCUACUGUAAUCAUCAGUAAAAGUCAAAUAUUAACGAUUAGCAUCCCUUGUGACAUGUUUGAAUGGUCCACNCACACACAACUGUGUACAAGAUCCAACAAACCUUCACCCCUCUCACAAGAACCAGUGAAGGGAGACUUUGUCAUUUUUCCAAGUAAACAUGAUUCGCAACUAUCAUCUGACUUUAGGUCAAAUGAUUCCAGGAAUCCAUCCUUUUGGAGUUAGCCUAUGCGUUUUUUGCUUAUAUGUCCAAGACGACAAUGCCAUAAUGAUGCUUUAUCCAAGUUAUUAUUAUUAACAGAAUCAAUACACAAUACAUUAUUUCCUAAGUUAUCAACCACAGAUACAGUUUCAUACACACCAUCACAAGGUAAUGCUUUAAAAUAAAGAACAUUAUUAAAGAAAGCAUUAAUCGAACCAACUUCAUUAUCAAAUGAAAAGGUAAAACCUUGUUUAUACAAUGCAUGAAAGGAAAUAAUAUUUCUUGCCAUUUCUAGUGAGUAACAACAUUUAUUCAAAUCUAAACUAAACCCACUAUGUAGCGAUAAAGUAUAAACUCUAAUCUUGGUGAUAGGUAAAGCUUUCCUAUUCCCGAUGAUCAAUUUUAUUCUUCCAUGCUCCACAUUCUCACUUCUUCUUAGUCCUUGCAAAUCAAAACAAAUAUGAAUACCGCAACCGGUAUCAAGGACCCAAGAGUUAGAAUAGGGUGAGUUAUUAGAAAUGAUAGUGUAAAUACCUGCAUGGUUGGGUUUAACUUUCCCAUCCUUCACAUCUUGCUGGUAUUUUGGGCAGUUCCGCUUCCAAUGAGAUUUUUCAUGGCAAUAGAAGCAUUCAGCCUCUUUUGGGUCAGAAGAAGGAGUGACGAAACCUAUCUUGGUUCCACUUGAAGAAGAGCCAUCAAGGGUCCUAGCAUUGGUACCCUUCGAAGACCUCUUCCUCUUCUUCCCUCUAUCUUUCCCGAUUGCCAAGACAGGGGUGGAGUUUGGAGUAGGAGUGUUAACAACCGACUUACCUUUAAGACUUGUUUCUGCGGUCUUUAGGAGUCCCUGAAGUUUGCUGAGUGUGACUUCUUCCUUAUUCAUGUGGUAUGUCAUGCAGAAUUGAUCAUAGCACGAGGGUAAGGAGUGCAAAAUGAUAUCUAUUGCAAGCUCCUCAGGGAAGUUCACAUUAAGCUUCAGCAAACGAUCCACAUACCUUUGCAUUUUCUGCAUGUGGCUCGUGACGGAGUCUCCGUCCUUCAUCCUGGUUGUUAUCAUGGAGCAGAUUAUUUCAUACCGCUCUUGACGAGCACUCUGAUGGUAUCUUUCCAUCAUAUCUUGGUGCAUCUCAAAAGGUUAGUAGUCCUCAUAGUACUUUUGGAGUUCAGCUGUCAUAGUGGCCAUCAUGAUGCAUGCCACUUUGGUGGCAUCUCUUUCAUGAGUCCAGAAGUCAGCGAUCUCUUGUGGAGUAGCAGUGGACUCAUCAAUCUCCUUUAACUCCUUAUUGAGGACAUAUUCCUUGUCCUCGUAAAGAGUCACCAUCCUGAUGUUCCGGAUCCAAUCCAUAAAGUUGGAACCAUCGAAGAUGACCCUCCCACAUAGGUUCAUGAGGGAAAAGGAGCCGGUAGGGUUUGAGCCAGAAGCAGUGUUGUUGGAAGACAUCUGAAAAGAAGAGAACAAGUUUAGUUUAGAUAUUAAGAGAGUCCUUAAUAAAACACCCAAAUGUAAUAUUAAGGCUAGGAUCCAAUCACAAUAUAUUAUAACUUAGAAGAGGUAUGCCGUAAUAUAAGCUAUAACAUAUUUGAGAGGUAGGUGAAUGACGAUUCACCAAUUUCCACCAUGAAAAACGAAAUAUAAAUAUUAGGUUUAUUUAAUUGGUUCUUAGAAAUUCCUAGAUUCUUUUGAGAUUCAAUGAAAUUUUCAAAGGCAUGUUUCAAUCUCGAGUGUGCCCUCCAAGUUUUGUGACUGGGAUACCGAGGAUCACAAAACGAGGUGUAAAGUAACUAUGCAAAUCACUUGGUACCUUUAAAGUUCAUCACUCAAUCGAUGUACCAGUUAACCACACACGCUCCACCGAUACUAUGAUAAACCUUAAGUCACCCUUUACCUACCUUGUUAAGUCCAAGUUAGUGUGCAGGUUAACCACACACGCUCCACCAACGACUUAAACAAAGUGUAAAGUAUAAUUUCAUGGAUUAGCACCUUAUUCACAUUUUCCUAAAGUAACUAAGAUUGGGAAUUUAAUAAAACAUUUUAGUUACUUUUGAUGGGUUUUGGUCCUAAGAACAUCCUAUGUGCUCAUACAAACCCUAAUGCUUGGAUCUAGGUUUCUCUAUUGUACAUGCAAGUUAUCCAAGACUAUAAACCCUAAUUCUAGCAUUCAAGUAAUCAUAUUAGCAUGAGAAUAGGUUUAAGAUGUUACCUUGAUUGUUAUGUAGCAAUAACAAUCCCAAAUCUCCUUGUAUUGACUUUAGAAAGCUUAGAGUCACAAAUGUCACUCCUCUAAUGGUUCACAAACACCAUAAGCAAGAGGAUGAAGAGGAGAGAGGAUGGAGGCUGCCCUAAAACGUGUGAAACCCUAGAAGGAUGCUUGUCCACGUUUUUGAGCCUUAAGGGUUCUAUAUAUAGUGAGGCUAUUAGGGUUAUCUAACAAGGAAACCCUAAUUUGGAUGCUUAAGCCCUGAGCAACCCAUGGACUCCUUUCCUUAAAGCCUUGGACGAUUUCUUAUGGGCUUCCCAUAGAAUUCAUCCACUCCUUAAUAUAAGGCAAUCCAUGGCCCAAUUGCAAUUAUCUUAUAAUUACAAUUCCAGUUGCUUAAGUUUAAUUAAUUUCUUUUCGUCACAAAACUAAUUACCAAUUAAUUAUUGACUAAUAUUAAUUAAACAAUAUGAUUUCUCCUUUAAUAUAUUAUUCCCAUAAUAUAUUAAUAAAUCAUAUUUAAUCCUUUCUCUCCAUAAUUCAUCCUAUCAAGUUGCUUUGGUGAAGGCAACCCAAAAGGACCAUGCACCAUCGGCUUAAGUUUAAUUAAUUUCUUUUCGUCACAAAACUAAUUACCAAUUAAUUAUUGACUAAUAUUAAUUAAACAAUAUGAUUUCUCCUUUAAUAUAUUAUUCCCAUAAUAUAUUAAUAAAUCAUAUUUAAUCCUUUCUCUCCAUAAUUCAUCCUAUCAAGUUGCUUUGGUGAAGGCAACCCAAAAGGACCAUGCACCAUCGGGUUAAGUACAUACCAAAAUAGUUAUGGACUUAGACACUAAUCCAACAACUUUAUAAUAUUCAUCAUACUUUUAAUGAUCAUGAAUUAAAACACAUAACUUGAGGACAUUUUAGUUACUUUAUAAUAUUCAUCAUACUUUAUAAUAUUCAUCAUACUUUUGGUUAUCCAUAACUUGAGGACAAGUUAUGGACUCCAUUAAAACACAUAAAGAUCAUGAAUUAAACAUUUAAACAAGUAAUUCCUAUGAUCUAUCAAAAACUCAUAAGAACAUGAAUAUUCAUAUUAAGGCUUCAAGAACAUAUGAACACAUAUAAUCAUGAAAAAUUGAUAUUAUCCAUUGUAAAUGGAUUAGAACAAUCAUUACACCAUCUAAAAUAGGUUUUACAACACCAAAACAGUUUAAGGUAAUGUUUCUAGUCCAUUUAUAGCAGCAAAGCUCCAAAAACUGCUCACUGGAUGACAAACUCGUCGAGUUCAUCAGGGAACUCGUCGAGUUCAUGCAAUAACACAUAAACUCAAUGAGUUUUUGGCCAGAACUCGUCGAGUUUUCUUGUCUGGAUAGUUUUUGGCUUUUGAAAAACAAGUUUGCAUCAAGUUUUUAACAAAAAAUCCUAGGCUCUGAUACCACUGAUGGGUUUUGAGCAUUCUAACACCCCUAAGUGUACAUGCAACCCUAGAAAACCUUGGAUCUAUGUUUGUCUAAAAUACAUGCAAAAUAUGAUUUCCAAGGUUCAUAAUCGUAUCUAGCAUACAUGGGGAACUUUUAAUCUAAAAGAUGGCUAGAAUUACAUACCUUGUAGUUGAUUUGAUUCCUUGAAAACCUUGAGAGCCUAGCACCCCAAGUGUGAUGCCUCAAAUGCUUCACACAACACCAAAUGCUUUUGGAAUGAAUUUUGAGAGAAUGCAAAGACUCUAAAAAUCGGUCUAGCCCUCUCUUGUACUUGUUAUAGCCAAUUUUGGUGGAGAAGGUGUUACUUAUAUAGUGUGUCACAUCUAGGGUUACACCAUGUAAACCCUAAUGUGUCAUGACUCUUCAUUUCCAUGACCCAUGGGUUUGUAACUCCCAUGGAGCAUCCUAUGGGUUUAACCCAACUUGAUAAUCCAUGGAGCCUUUUAGCCCACUAUACAAGUUANGAUUUACAUAAUCAACCCAUAUCUUUAAUUAGUUAUCUUUUGCUCACUUAAUUAAUUCUAAAUUAAUUAUUGAUCAAUACUAAUUAAAUAAUACUAUUAAUAUAUUAGAACUUAUAAUAUAUUAAUAAACCACAAGUGUUAUUUCUCUCAUUUAGUCUAUCCAAAUGCAUGAUGCCAUGUAACCCAAAUGGACCAUGCCGGGUCAGGUCAAGUACAUACCAGAAAUAGUUAUGGACUUAGACACCUUAUCCAACAUAAGGAUCUAGGAAGGAUGCCUUAUAUGCCUAUGGUAUGAGCUUAUUGAGCUAUAUGCUAUGGCUGGUUAGUCAACAGUAGGCUAGCCUGAUUAGUUUUUGCUUGGUUAUGGUUACUCAAUGCCCGAAUGUUGCUUGCUUUGUGCUUAUAGGGGUUCUAGCUAGCUUUAACUAACUAGUAAGCGAAUAUGUAAUAGUAUUCACAAGCUAGUUAAGGAAAGGUGGUAGGGACUGCUUGUGCAACUGAUGGCAGAGAGUGGGUUAGAGAGUGCCCUAGGACAAGCCUAGGACGAUAUUAGCUUGGAAAGUAGUAUUAGUAUAAGGGACUUGGUGAAGUCGAAGCCAUCCCUGAGGAAAGUACGAAUUAUGUGGAAGGUAGUGGGGGCCCGUACUACUGGAAGCAGAGGAUCUGUACUUGAAUCAAGGUAGGAUAAGAAAGAACUAGGGAACUUGGAGAGUGUGUGAGACUUCUCGAGAGUAUGUAUGAUCCUGAUUUUUAUGCGUUUUAUUUCAGUAUGGCGAUUACACGACAUGGAGCAGGAGGUUCAGGGUUUGGAUUAGGAUUAGGAUCAGGCUCGGGUGGAGGAUCCGAGCAGGUUGAUGACGGGCUACGCGAUCUCAUCGGGUCUGAGAUCACGAGAGGUAUCCUUGAGGCGACCCCGGUUAUUUUUGGGUUGAUUAAGGAGGGGAUUAUUGAGUUGAUGGAGGAUCGCCUUCAGACAUUCAGGAGUGACUUGGCGUCCAGCCAGUCGGGUUAAUGCACACUGUCCUUCAAGGACUUCAGGGGGAGUGGUGUGCCAGACUUUCACAGGGUGAAGGACCCCAUUAUGGCCAGGAGAUGGAUUGCAGACAUCAAGUCUGCACAGUUGACAAGCUUCUUCCGGAGGGGUCGAAGGUCCGCUUUGAUGCGGGUUGUUUGAGGGAUCGAGCCAGAGAUUGGUGGGAGUUAGUGGGUGAUUUACUAGGGGCCCCAACCAUUGAGGCUAUGACUUGGUCAGAUUUUGUGACCAGGUUUAGGGCUGAGUUUGCGCUGGUUGUGGAGCUUCAGCAGCUAGCCAGAUAGUUUCUUGAUAUGAGGUAGACUACUG
rnacentral:lncRNA from 1 species